UACAGAGGGGGCAAGCGUUGUUCGGAAUUACUGGGCGUAAAGGGCGCGUAGGCGGCCGCCUAAGUCAGACGUGAAAUCCCUCGGCUCAACCGGGGAACUGCGUCUGAUACUGGGUGGCUUGAAUCCCGGGAGAGGGAUGCGGAAUUCCAGGUGUAGCGGUGAAAUGCGUAGAUAUCAGGAGGAACACCUGUGGCGAAGGCGGCCCUCUGGACGGAUACUGACGCUGAGACGCGAAAGCGUGGGAGCAAACAGG
rnacentral:rRNA from 1 species